UUGAACGCUGGCGGCAGGCCUAACACAUGCAAGUCGAGCGGAUGAAGGGAGCUUGCUCCUGGAUUCAGCGGCGGACGGGUGAGUAAUGCCUAGGAAUCUGCCUGGUAGUGGGGGAUAACGUCCGGAAACGGGCGCUAAUACCGCAUACGUCCUGAGGGAGAAAGUGGGGGAUCUUCGGACCUCACGCUAUCAGAUGAGCCUAGGUCGGAUUAGCUAGUUGGUGGGGUAAAGGCCUACCAAGGCGACGAUCCGUAACUGGUCUGAGAGGAUGAUCAGUCACACUGGAACUGAGACACGGACCAGCCUCCUCCGGGAGGAGCCGGGGGGGAUUUUUGGAGAAUGGGGAAAAGCUUGCUCCACCCUUGCCGGGUGUGGGAAGAAGGUUUUCGGAUUGUAAACCAUUUUAAGUGGGGAGAAAGGGCAUUAAGUUAAUCCCUUGCUUUUUGGACUUUCCCAAAAAAAUAGACCCCGGCUACCUUCGUC
rnacentral:rRNA from 1 species